UUAUAAUCAACUGAGCAAGCAUGAAUGCGACGUGUGUGUCAGUAGAAAACAAAUGCGGCCUUUGAUAAUGUAUGUCAUGGUGGAAAAGGGUGAUUUGGCCCUCAUUUUAAAUAUUUGAGUCGUGCGCUGAUAGGUUGAUGUCGUGUAAUUAAAACAAUGAUACGAUUUGAUGAAUAAUAUUCUGUGUAGACAUCCACUUUAGAUUCCUUUAUUUGUAGUUAUGCGUGAUAUAUGUGUAAGGCGGUAGUGUGCGUGGAUGGGAGGGAGCGAGUGAGAAAAGGAGAGAGGGAGGGCGAACCAAAGCCAAUAAGGGCCUAUGCUGGCUACUCCCCGUGCACACAGCGCUUUAUUUUUAUUUAUGCCGAGCAAGAAUCUGUUACUCGUGUUUGUAGGCCCAGUCCGUGGCGUCUAAAAGCCAGCUACCCUCUCCGGGGAGGAAGGUAGCAUGAUAGCCGUGGAUGGGAAUCGGCAGGAAGAGCGUCCCCGUCUGCUGCAUUCCGACUGCGCCCGCACCCGAAGCCACCGAGUCGGCAAGCGGCGGCGUCCGACAUGGGGAAGGAGGUGAACGGCGUCUCGCGGAGCCGCUUUGAGAUGUUCACAAACAGCGACGAGGCUGUCAUCAAUAAGAAGCUACCCAAAGAGCUGUUGCUGCGAAUCUUCUCCUUCCUGGAUGUGGUGACGCUGUGUCGCUGUGCUCAGGUCUCACGGUCCUGGAAUGUUCUGGCUCUAGAUGGAAGCAACUGGCAGCGCAUCGACCUCUUUGACUUUCAGCGGGACAUCGAGGGCCGAGUGGUGGAGAACAUCUCUAAGCGAUGUGGGGGGUUCCUGAGGAAGCUGAGCCUACGGGGGUGCCUCGGUGUGGGCGACAGCGCCCUGAGGACUUUCUCACAGAACUGCAGGAACAUCGAGCUGCUCAGUUUGAAUGGCUGCACCAAGAUCACUGACAGCACAUGUAACAGCCUGAGCAAGUUCUGCCCAAAGCUGAAGCACCUGGACCUCGCUUCCUGUACCUCAAUCACCAACCUGUCGCUCAAAGCCCUCAGCGAGGGCUGCCCACUGCUGGAGCAGCUCAAUAUCUCCUGGUGUGAUCAGGUCACCAAGGAUGGCAUCCAGGCUCUGGUUCAGUCCAGUCCGGGACUCAAGGGUCUUUUCCUAAAAGGCUGCACGCAGCUAGAAGAUGAGGCACUGAAGCAUAUUGGGGCGAAUUGUCCCGAGUUGGUCACGCUCAACUUGCAGACAUGCUCACAGAUCACAGAUGAUGGCCUCAUCACCAUUUGUCGAGGCUGCCAUCGUCUUCAGUCGCUGUGUGUGUCAGGCUGCGCCAACAUCACGGACGCCAUCUUGCACGCGCUCGGACAGAACUGCCCCCGCCUCAGAAUCUUAGAAGUGGCCCGCUGCUCCCAACUUACAGACGUGGGCUUCACGACGCUAGCAAGGAAUUGUCACGAGCUUGAGAAGAUGGAUUUAGAAGAAUGUGUACAGAUUACAGAUGGAACGCUCAUCCAGCUUUCUAUCUACUGCCCUCGGCUGCAAGUUCUGAGUCUGUCUCACUGCGAGCUCAUCACCGACGACGGCAUCCGCCACCUGGGCAGCGGGCCGUGCGCCCACGACCGACUGGAGGUGAUCGAGCUGGACAACUGCCCGCUUAUCACCGACGCCUCGCUGGAGCACUUGAAGAGCUGCCACAGUCUGGAUCGCAUCGAGCUCUACGACUGCCAGCAGAUCACCCGAGCCGGCAUCAAGAGGCUAAGGACCCACCUGCCUAACAUCAAAGUGCACGCGUACUUUGCCCCCGUCACUCCUCCGCCUUCGGUGGGGGGCAGCCGCCAGAGGUUUUGCCGUUGCUGCGUCGUGCUAUGAUGCAAAAGACAUCGACAUCGGUCUACUCCCCCCCUCGCUCCCCUGCGUGUGACCCGGAGUCCCUCCUAUUCAAGCUUCUCUCCCAGGACCCCGCCCCUCCCUUGGUCAAUCAGUACAUUCUUGCUGCGUCCCCUCCACUUUAUAAGCUGCAGAGAGACCAAACAGUGCAGGUGUGGCCCUAAUACUCCUUCGUGGACUCCUGGGGUCCAGACCGGUUGUGGUUUUUGAUGGGCCCAUGAAGUAUUGAAACCUCCGACUACCUGCAUUUAUUUUGCCCCUCAUUCUAUAUUUCACUGCCCUCCCUUUGCCUUGUUUCUUUUCUUUUGGCGUGGCUCCGAUUGCACCUGCUUCGUGUUGCGUUGUGUUCAGUGUCUCCUCUGAGAUUUUGUAUUUUUAUCAUCGUCGUAAAUCUCCAGGCCAGGUGCAAUUGUAAGUAGGAUUUUUUUUUUCUCGCUCUCUCUCUCAGAUAUUACUUCUCAUAUUUUCCUGAAUUGAAAAAGGCUCUUCAGGCAUGACGUGCCACUUUGGAAUAAUCCUGCUUCAUUUCUAUAUGUCGCCCUCUUUUCUGCUAUUACCUUACACCAAAUUCCCCAAACGUGACUGAAAUGUGGAAUGUUAAAGCGUCCUAAAUGUCCCCAAAAUGGAUUGAAGGAGGCUAAACAAGCUUGAGUCAAGAUUCUCAUAAUUUUUUGGGGGGAUAAUGCAAAGCAGGAUGAGCCCCGUGUAAUCCUGCCGUUUUGUUCGAGCGGGGCUCUGCAUUGGGUGGGGGAUUAGGGAACGUGUCAAAAUGGCAGCCGUGUACCCCCGAGAAAGAAAAGCGGGAUUGAUUUUCCUGGCCCAUGUGUCAAUACGAGAGAAACGCCUUAAGGAGCUUGCGGACCAAAGUGUCAAUGCUAACUCUGAAAAGCUUGAAUCAGCCCACUGACCCAUGUGUCAACGCUAACUCUGAAAAAUAAAGGAAGGAACGUGCGAUGAAGUCUUCUGGCCCACGUGUCAAUGCUGCUGGUCCAAAUGUCAACACUGACUCUGAAAAUGCAAGGAGACUUCUGGCCAGUGUGUUCACAUUCACUCUGAAUUUUACAGAUUGUGAGGAGAGAAAGAAUCCGCUGGCCUAUGUCAACUUUGGAGGAAAGUGAGAGCAGCUCGCUGGACCUUGUGUCAAUGCUAAUAAUGGAUUUACUGUGAGAAAACCACAAAAGAGCCUGCUGGCCCAUGUGUCAAGGCUAACUCUUAACGCCGGUAGGAAUGGUGCAAAGAUGUCUGUUGGCUCAUGUGUCAGCGCUCACUUUGGAAAGCAUAGAGCAGCUCACAGAACCGUCUGGCAACGCUAGCUUUGAAUAUUCCGGUCAGAAAGUGUAGAGGACGUUGUUGGCUCGUGCGUCAAUGCUAACGCUUGGCUAGUCAAUUGGCCCGUGUGUCGACAGCUCACUGUUGAGAAUAACGGUAGGAAAGCUUGUGUCAACAUCAUCGCAAAACAAACACACGGUUGGUUCCCCUUGCAUUUGAAAA